rnacentral:rRNA from 1 species
UACAGAGGGGGCAAGCGUUGUUCGGAAUUACUGGGCGUAAAGGGCGCGUAGGCGGCCUGCUAAGUCGAACGUGAAAUCCCCGAGCUCAACUCGGGAACUGCGUCCGAUACUGGCAGGCUUGAAUCCGGGAGAGGGAUGCGGAAUUCCAGGUGUAGCGGUGAAAUGCGUAGAUAUCUGGAGGAACACCGGUGGCGAAGGCGGCAUCCUGGACCGGCAUUGACGCUGAGGCGCGAAAGCCAGGGGAGCAAACGAG